rnacentral:ncRNA from 1 species
UCCGUUGUGAAGCGGAAUCUGAAGGAAGUCGGAGGCAAACUUCCGCCCCGAGGCAUACGAAUCUCAUAAGUAGGCUGUCGCUUUUGGAUGAGACUGCUAAACAAGUUAAAAUCCGAACGACCAAAGGAAGCGGCAGUAAAUGAGGCGGGGACGUGGAAGGGAAGAUGUCAGG